rnacentral:rRNA from 1 species
UGGGGAAUAUUGCACAAUGGGGGAAAACCCUGAUGCAGCGACGCCGCGUGAGUGAAGAAGUAUUUCGGUAUGUAAAGCUCUGUCAGCAGGGAAGAAAAUGACGGUACCUGACCAAGAAGCCCCGGCUAACUACGUGCC